rnacentral:rRNA from 1 species
UACGUAGGUGGCGAGCGUUGUCCGGAUUUAUUGGGCGUAAAGCGCGCGCAGGCGGUGCGGUAAGUCUGUCGUGAAAUCUCCCGGCUCAACUGGGAGGGUGCGGUGGAGACUGCCGGACUGGAGGCACUCAGAGGCCGGUGGAAUUCCCGGUGUAGUGGUGAAAUUCGUAGAUAUCGAGAGGAACACCGGUGGCGAAGGCGGCCAACUGGACGAAUACUGACGCUGAGACUCGAAAGCGUGGGGAGCAAACAGG